UGCGUGCAGGCUCUAACACACUGCGAAGUCGAGCGGAUGACGGGAGCUUGCUCCUUGAUUCAGCGGCGGACGGGUGAGUAAUGCCUAGGAAUCUGCCUGGUAGUGGGGGACAACGUUUCGAAAGGAACGCUAAUACCGCAUACGUCCUACGGGAGAAAGCAGGGGACCUUCGGGCCUUGCGCUAUCAGAUGAGCCUAGGUCGGAUUAGCUAGUUGGUGGGGUAAUGGCUCACCAAGGCGACGAUCCGUAACUGGUCUGAGAGGAUGAUCAGUCACACUGGAACUGAGACACGGUCCAGACUCCUACGGGAGGCAGCAGUGGGGAAUAUUGGACAAUGGGCGAAAGCCUGAUCCAGCCAUGCCGCGUGUGUGAAGAAGGUCUUCGGAUUGUAAAGCACUUUAAGUUGGGAGGAAGGGCAGUAAGCUAAUACCUUGCUGUUUUGACGUUACCGACAGAAUAAGCACCGGCUAACUCUGUGCCAGCAGCCGCGGUAAUACAGAGGGUGCAAGCGUUAAUCGGAAUUACUGGGCGUAAAGCGCGCGUAGGUGGUUUGUUAAGUUGGAUGUGAAAGCCCCGGGCUCAACCUGGGAACUGCAUCCAAAACUGGCAGGCUAGAGUACGGUAGAGGGUGGUGGAAUUUCCUGUGUAGCGGUGAAAUGCGUAGAUAUAGGAAGGGAGCACCAGUGGCGAAGGCGACCACCUGGACUGAUACUGACACUGAGGUGCGAAAGCGUGGGGGAGCAAACAGGAUUAGAUACCCUGGUAGUCCACGCCGUAAACGAUGUCAACUAGCCGUUGGGAUCCUUGAGAUUUUAGUGGCGCAGCUAACGCAUUAAGUUGACCGCCUGGGGAGUACGGCCGCAAGGUAAAACUCAAAUGAAUUGACGGGGGCCCGCACAAGCGGUGGAGCAUGUGGUUUAAUUCGAAGCAACGCGAAGAACCUUACCAGGCCUUGACAUGCAGAGAACUUUCCAGAAGAUGGAUUGGUGCCUUCGGGAA
rnacentral:rRNA from 1 species